rnacentral:lncRNA from 10 species
AGCAAGGCCUGUCUGUCUAGACUCCUCUUGGCCUCACUGCGCAGCAUUCGUUCCUCCUUGGUGUGUGGCAGGACCCUCUAUGGAAAGAGGGUGUUAUGACCUACAAUUAAAAAAGACUUGGAGCUAAAGCAGCUGUCAACCUGGAAGUACCAAUGGACACUGACAAAACAAUAAACAAAUCUCCAACAAAAGCCUGUUCUCUCUAGCCAAAAAUCCAAGACAGUCUUGAGAAGACUAGUAAGACAGAAAACUUUUAGACAAUAACAGCUCUA